GCAAACGGUGUUGGUUAUGCCCCUGUGAUCAAUAACAACAAUGUUGCUGACAAGAACUUCUAUGCUAGAGUGACAGAUAGAUACCCACAAUACAUGUACGACCGACCGUACAUGUACCCGACCCCUAACGACAACCAUUGCCCAUCCCUCUUGGGUUCGGCCAUGUACAACAUGUCUCCUGCAGCUCAUGGAAACUACUUUGGAAAUGCUUACCAGUAUCAAGCUGCUGCAUAUCUUCACU
rnacentral:misc_RNA from 1 species